GACUCCCAUCAGCCACCAGCAGCUUCAAUUUCCUUAGCUCCCAAAACCACCUUAAAGGUAAAGCCACACCAUGACAAGAGCAGAGGAAAAUGAGCCAAAUGCGUGGAUUGGCAGAGAAAACCCACUGCAUUCCAGCCUCAGCCUCCUGCACUGCCCACCACAUUCUUGGAGGGACUGGGAGAGAUUGACUAAUGCAUGGCAAAAGCAAGGCCAAGUCAGUCAUCAAAAAUUUGCUCUAGUUGGUGAUAAAUUAAAUUAAAUUCUCAUAGUCAAGACUGUUUUGGCCAUGACAAGUGCCCUUACUCUACCUGGUGAAACUGUCCAAGAGCAACCUGGUGGCACAUCUUGUAUAUCUACCAGUUCCAACUCAAGUUUAGCUUUCUGUGUGAUGGGGUUCCUGCCCUCAGCAACAAUUGUUUUGAUGCCUAAUGGAGGUGGCCAGAAAGUCACCAAUUUCUUCAUUUUCAGAUCAGGCAAGUCUACUUUAGAUUUCUCUGCAUGUUAAUUAAUGGUCAUUUCUGGUGUCACUAAUAUGACACCAUGUUAGUGUUGUUAUAAGGUUGUUAUGACUUCCUCUGUGUUCCUUUCUUAUCUGUACCUGAAUUAUUUGGAACAGCAAGGAUGUAGUUCAGAGCCUUGGCUGAGCUUUCCCCCAACAGCUGUUUGUUUUCCUUAGGACUUACCCAGAUUGAGGUCUCAUUUUGUCCAAGUGAUAGCUCUGGGCAAGUUCCAUCAGACAAGCCUAACUUCCAUUUCCAGAGGAUCCCAAAGAAAUCUACAGAGAUUGAUACUAAAAUGAUCAUCCUGUUUAUAGAAAGGCAGCUGUUCUUUGAGCUGCAGAAAACAAUCACAUAUCAGCUACCUACAGGGUAGAAAAACCAUUAAAACAUCAGGGCUCUGAAGCAGGAAAGGGGGAUACUGUCUGCUAGAACUAGAUCGAUACUUGCAGAAAUACUGAAGAUAACUCACUCAUAAACAUAGUUUGAAAAUUCUGUUGUUUCCAGAUGGCAUGGUUUUGAUUGGAAAAAUGAAAGAAGUAAGCCACGCAUAAUGUGGGAGUUUUGAAAGCAGUAAAAAUGAAAGAAUAACUUACAUAAGGAAAUGUCCUGGGGUGACUAUGAUACUGGUGUCCCUAAUCGUCUGGUUUAUGUUAUAUAUAUUAAGUUCUGCACCUUUAAGACUGGCUCUGAGAGCAAAGGUGGGGGGAAGAAGAAGCUACAGUUUGUGUUGAAAGAAAACAUCACUCCCCCGUAUCCUUCUCCUGGACUGGGCUGUCUGCAGCACAGACAGACAGCGGGACAGAGCUUUUCUCUGGCUUUUAGUUCAUUUUAGC